rnacentral:rRNA from 1 species
AAGCUUGCUUCAAUUGCCGGCGACCGGCGCACGGGUGAGUAACGCGUAUCCCACCUUCCGCUCACUCGGGGAUAGCCUUUCGAAAGAAAGAUUAAUACCCGAUGGUAUCUUAAGCACGCAUGAGAUUAAGAUUAAAGAUUUAUCGGUAAGCGAUGGGGAUGCGUUCCAUUAGGCAGUUGGCGGGGUAACGGCCCACCAAACCUACGAUGGAUAGGGGUUCUGAGAGGAAGGUCCCCCACAUUGGAACUGAGACACGGUCCAAACUCCUACGGGAGGCAGCAGUGAGGAAUAUUGGUCAAUGGGCGAGAGCCUGAACCAGCCAAGUAGCGUGAAGGAUGACGGCCCUACGGGUUGUAAACUUCUUUUGUGCGGGAAUAAAGGAGCCUACGUGUAGGCUUUUGCAUGUACCGUAACGAAUAAGCAUCGGCUAACUCCGUGCCAGCAGCCGCGGUAAUACGGAGGAUGCGAGCGUUAUCCGGAUUUAUUGGGUUUAAAGGGAGCGUAGACGGGUUUUUAAGUCAGCUGUGAAAGUUUGGGGCUCAACCUUAAAAUUGCAGUUGAAACUGGAGACCUUGAGUACGGUUGAGGCAGGCGGAAUUCGUGGUGUAGCGGUGAAAUGCUUAGAUAUCACGAAGAACUCCGAUUG